UACGUAGGUGGCAAGCGUUAUCCGGAAUUAUUGGGCGUAAAGCGCUCGCAGGCGGUUUCUUAAGUCUGAUGUGAAAGCCCACGGCUCAACCGUGGAGGGUCAUUGGAAACUGGGGGACUUGAGUGCAGAAGAGGAAAGCGGAAUUCCACGUGUAGCGGUGAAAUGCGUAGAGAUGUGGAGGAACACCAGUGGCGAAGGCGGCUUUCUGGUCUGUAACUGACGCUGAGGCGCGAAAGCGUGGGGAGCAAACAGG
rnacentral:rRNA from 1 species